ACUAACUCACUCACUCACUCCCUCUUUCGUUACCUAGCAACGCACUCACUCUUUGGUCACCUAGCAACAAUCUGUUGGGUAACUGGCGCAGCAGAAGUUUAAGGUUUCAUCGCUGUGCCUCAUAACUGCUUAACAAACAACAACAAAAACAAGGCUGUGGAGUGAAAACUGGAUAAAACAGAAAGCCAUAUUGUCGAGCCCUGUUGAAUUGACUCAUGCAGUCCCACCCGGCAUGGAGGAAGGUAAAACACACAUCCAGCACACAGGGAUACAACAAGCAUGACUUUUUAAAAGCACACUGUUCCUGGUGGAAAAACCCUCUAAUGGGGAUAAUUUAAAGCAAUUUUCCAAAGAAGAGUUGGGUCAGCAUUCCUCCACAGUGAUGCGAAAGGCUCAUUACGAGUUAUCGCAAUGGCGGAACAACCAGUUAUUUAGGGAGCAAUUAGUUCUUCCUCAUAGAGCCAAGAUGAACUGAAGCUGGUGGAGAGGCUGCAGUCAAAAUGAGAACGAUCCGCAGAUCAACUAAAGGUUGUCUGAGCUCUGCGUGGAAAUAUAAAGAAUGACUCAAGACUUUUGCACAUGACUGAGUACAGAGAAUUUAAUAAAUCA